GUGAAUUUUUGUGAAAAUAAAUAAAUAAAAAAGGUCUGUUUGAUAUUACGCCGCGGAUUUUUUUUCAUCGUUGGGUGCUGCUGCUUGUUCGCUGCUUGCUACAGAAUUGCCAGCCAUUAAUUAUGAGCCGAAAAAAUAAAAGAGGUAAAUCUCUUGCCUCGCCGACUCGCGUCACAGCAGCAGUUCCCGAAAUUGGUAAUAAUGAGUGCACAAACAUGUGUUAUAUCACACUAUUUACAUGCAUCGUGAAACGAAAUAUUUGAUUCCCCAAAGAUGAUGC